AGCAGCGUGGCUCAGUGGAAAGAGCACCGGCUUGGGAGUCAGAGGUCAUGGGUUCGAAUCCCGGCUCUGCCA
rfam:Ornithorhynchus anatinus chromosome X2, whole genome shotgun sequence.